rnacentral:rRNA from 1 species
UACACUCCUACGGGAGGCAGCAGUGGGGAAUUUUGGACAAUGGGCGAAAGCCUGAUCCAGCCAUGCCGCGUGCAGGAUGAAGGCCUUCGGGUUGUAAACUGCUUUUGUACGGAACGAAACGGCCUUUUCUAAUAAAGAGGGCUAAUGACGGUACCGUAAGAAUAAGCACCGGCUAACUACGUGCCAGCAGCCGCGGUAAUACGUAGGGUGCAAGCGUUAAUCGGAAUUACUGGGCGUAAAGCGUGCGCAGGCGGUUAUGUAAGACAGUUGUGAAAUCCCCGGGCUCAACCUGGGAACUGCAUCUGUGACUGCAUAGCUAGAGUACGGUAGAGGGGGAUGGAAUUCCGCGUGUAGCAGUGAAAUGCGUAGAUAUGCGGAGGAACACCGAUGGCGAAGGCAAUCCCCUGGACCUGUACUGACGCUCAUGCACGAAAGCGUGGGGAGCAAACAGGAUUAGAUACCCCUGUAGUCCCAUGA